rnacentral:lncRNA from 1 species
GGCAGCUCGAGAGAGUCUUCGAGCUGCAUGAGUACAGCUCGUCUCCUCAAUACCGUUGUAAUAUGCAUAGGAUUAUGAAAUUGUAUUUUACUUUUCUAGAAUUUGUUCUCAUGCUACGGCAAUGGGCAAAUAAGACAGAAAUGGAAGUCUCAGCCCUAGUAUUCUCAGCUGAGCCUCAGCUGAUAGCAACCUCAGGUGGAAGAGGGAUGCAUAAAUAGCAACUCCCAAGCACUGUCCUGUUUCUAAAUGCCUGGGGUUCUGUAGUAGGUCUGAAACCAGAGUAAAACCUGGCAUGGGGAAAGUUUGCUGCUGGUCUCUUUCAUCCAAAGAUGUUUUUUUCAGCUUUCAUCGUCAGAGGGAAAAUCUAAAAAUGACAUUUGGUUUAGAUUAAAAAAAAUAAGAUAAAGUAGCCCUGAGAGAGCAGAGCUUUGCUAACAGCUCAGCAGAUCUAGGAGCACCAUGGCUGCUGCCUGCGUGCAUCAGCAGAGGUAAUAGGAAGCAGGGAGGAUGUACCCAACUGUCUGCUCCCUUGAUGCCAUCCUUCUUUGCAAGAUUGAGGAAUUGAUUUUGCUUUGAAAUCUAUAUGAAGCAGAAACAGAAAACCGAAAAUUAAGAGCAUAAGUCAUUGCAUGCUUGAACACUCAUGCUUUGGGCCGAUCUGUCUGCUGACUUCAGUGUUAAGCUGGGAGAUCAUGUAACUGUAGCAGGUGCUCUUGGAGCUCCUGUUGACCCAACCAAGUUACUGCAGUGACACAUGAACCAACACUCCUCUGUCCUAGCAUUUCUGAUACAAGCAGUUGUGCAUUUCUCUUCCACUGAGAGCUGAGGGUCUUCUCAAUUUGUACCUGAUGGAGUGAUGGAUAGAAAUUUGUCAGAGACACAGCAGAUGGAAGAGAAGCUGUUGAAACUCAACUCCAGUUGUUUCUCCUUUUGGAGAAUUAAUUUCCAAUUGCAUUUACUCAGUGUAAUUAUCCUGCGUUGGCUAUAAUGAUUUUUCCAUGUAUGCACCGUGUUCAUUAAUAGUCCUUGUAUUUUUUAGUGCUUAUCUAUAGCCAAGUAAGGAAUGAUAAAUAACUAGGAAUCCAGUCUCCUCUACACCUCAAAUUAUAUUCUGUUACAAUUUUUGGAAAUCCUGGAGAAGGUUCAUUUAGCUUGGUUGAUAUGCAAUGUAUAUGAAAUAAUAAGUUGAUGGGAAAAGUCUCAGUGAUCUCCUGGAGCUGUGUGCCAGACCUAUGCUCUACUUCAUUUCUGUCAAAUAAAAUCAAAGUGCUGAGUACAGUAAUGAAGUAUGAGGAAGGUUGUCUUCUUCCUUCUGUGAUACAGAAUCAUAAAAUCAUAGAAUUGCUCAGGUUGGAAAAGACCUUCAAGAUCAUCAAGUCCGACCUCAACUUAACCAUACUACCCUAACUCUAACAACUCACCACUAAAUCAUGUCCCUGAGCACCACAUCCAGAUAAGACUGAAUGGAGGAUCUUACUCAGCUGGAAUAGAUGCUGGUACAACCAGGAGGGAACACCAGAGCCUGGUGGCAGGUCCAGUAACUGUAAGACGAAACCAGGAUUGCUAAAGAGCAAAGAUCCCAGAAGAGCAAUGCCUCCUGCCAGGAGCUCACAAGAUGGCACCUCUCCCUGCACUCGCUGAGUGGGAUGUCCAUAGCAGCUCCAUACCUCAGAGCAUCUACAUCC